rnacentral:rRNA from 1 species
GACGAACGCUGGCGGCGCGCCUAACACAUGCAAGUCGAACGGAGUCAAGAGGAGCUUGCUUUUCUUGACUUAGUGGCGAACGGGUGAGUAACGCGUGAGUAACCUGCCCUGGAGUGGGGGACAACAGUUGGAAACGACUGCUAAUACCGCAUAAGCCCACGGAUCUGCAUGGAUCUGCGGGAAAAGGAUUUAUUCGCUCUAGGAUGGACUCGCGUCCAAUUAGCUAGUUGGUGAGGUAACGGCCCACCAAGGCGACGAUUGGUAGCCGGACUGAGAGGUUGAACGGCCGCAGUGGGAGUGAGACACGGACGAGACUCCUACGGGAGGCAGCAGUGGGGGAUAUUGCACAAUGGGGGAAACCCUGAUGCAGCGACCCCGCGUGGAGGAAGAAGGUUUUCGGAUUGUAAACCCCUGUCGUUAGGGACGAUAAUGACGGUACCUAACAAGAAAGCACCGGCUAACUACGUG